rnacentral:tRNA from 1 species
UCCCCGUUCGUCUAGUGGCUCAGGACCCAGGACUCUCAGUCCUGUAACAGGGGUUCAAAUCCUCUACGGGGUA